CAUUUCUGGCUCAGAGUGUUUGUUCUAGAUUAUAAUAAUAAUAAAAAAAUGUCUGGCUCGGAGUGUUUGUUCUAGAUUCAAUUAAGUUCUAGACAAACACUCCGAGCCAGACAUUUAUUAUUAUUAUUUGAAUUUAGAACAAACACUCAGAGCCAGACAUU